CUCCCAUAAACACACCUUCUCCUCCCAUAAACACACCUUCUCCUCCCAUAAACACACCUUCUCCCUCCCACAUAGGGCUGUUGUGGUGACUGUAUUACCGCCACACCAAAAGUCAUGAGUCAUGACCACAGUAAAAUUGAAUGGUAAAUCUCCUCUUAUGUACUCUGGACAUGUUAGACAUACCCAACUCGCUAAUGACCGUCAGGUCCUAAUGGCCUGGUACUCAGGGCUCUAUUGUUCCUCCAUCAGGUCCUAAUGGCCUGGUACUCAGGGCUCUAUUGUUCCUCCAUCAGGUCCUAAUGGUCUGGUACUCAGGGCUCUAUUGUUCCUCCAUCAGGUCCUAAGGGCCUGGUACUCAGGGCUCUAUUGUUCCUCUAACCACCUUUGAAGUCAAUGCAAAUGCAAUUUAAAAUCGCAUAAAAAACUGAUCAUCAAAACAGUACCGUACUUUUAAAACUCACCUCAUCUGUGAUGAUGAAUUUGAAGAAAGAUGUUCGACAACAGGUUGAAACGGAGAGGAAAACAUGGUCCUUGUGGACGCAAAAGUACAAAUGGAUAGUUAGCUAGCUAACUUAUUGUAACGGUAACUAAAGUUGGGCUUGUAUAUGUGAUGGAUUGCAGACCAGGCAGUGUGCAGUAGACUGUAUAGUUUGCAGUACGGUUAGCCUAGCUAGCGAGCUAGCUACCGCUGUUAGCCACCUAGCAUGCUAACUCGUAGAGAACAAUGGGGCCACCAUUUAGGUGUUAGCCUAGGCUAACGGUUAGCCUAGCUGUUAGCCACCUAGCUCGUUGAGAACAAUGGGGCCACCAUUUAGGUGUUAGCCUAGGCUAACGGUUAGCCUAGCUGUUAGCCACCUAGCAUGCUAGCUCGUUGAGAACAAUGGGGCCACCAUUUAGGUGUUAGCCUAGGCUAACGGUUAGCCUAGCUGUUAGCCACCUAGCAUGCUAGCUCGUUGAGAACAAUGGGGCCACCAUUUAGGUGUUAGCCUAGGCUAACGGUUAGCCUAGCUGUUAGCCACCUAGCAUGCUAGCUCGUUGAGAACAAUGGGGCCACCAUUUAGGUGUUAGCCUAGGCUAACGGUUAGCCUAGCUGUUAGCCACCUAGCAUGCUAGCUUCGUUGAGAAACACUCAGAAGUAUAUUAGAGCUGAUUAUAGACCUACUAUAUACGAGGCCAAGACCGGAACAUCUGAAUUAAAAUAACGAUUGUUCCCUAAUACAAUACAUAGCCUAUUGCAUAUUAUGCACUUUAAUGAUUUAAGAUGUCUUUGGUACAUAAUUUGGUCUAUCCUAUUCUCCUACAUUAAAACACACACUAGUAACGGCCUUUGAAUGUGGACUGUAUUAUUAUGCAUACUGGGUGGACUGGUUAAAUGUAUAGGCUUAGGUCAUGUUGCUGCUUCAUUGAUUGUGCAAGGUGGCUUACAAUAAUUAUUACUUACUUAUAAUUAUUGUGAAUUUGUAAUUGAUUUUUAAUUAGCCUGGUAAAAAAAAGGGCUUUUUUUUUUAUACUUUCAUAAUUAAUCGGCUGACACAUUACCUUUAAUAACUGGAGAAUAUAUCUCACCACUGUGUUUUUCCCAUCUCCUCUCUUCUUCAUUCCUUUCUCAAGGAUGUAGAGAGAGAGAGGUGCUGUCACCAGCUUCAUCCACUAUGUUUCGUUGGUUGGAGGGCCCAUACAGAGUACUGGGUAGCUGCAGGAACAAGGUUGGAGGGCCCAUACAGAGUACUGGGUAGCUGCAGGAACAAGGUUGGAGGGCCCAUACAGAGUACUGGGUAGCUGCAGGAACAAGGUUGGAGGGCCCAUACAGAGUACUGGGUAGCUGCAGGAACAAGGUAGGAGGGCCCAUACAGAGUACUGGGUAGAUGUAGGAUCAGGGUAGGAGAGCCCAUGGCAUACAGAGUACUGGGUAGAUGAACAGGGUAGGAGGGCCCAUGGCAUACAGAGUACUGGGUAGCUGCAGGAACAAGGUAGGAGAGCCCAUACAGAGUACUGGGUAGCUGCAGGGUAGGAGAGCCCAUGGCAUACAGAGUACUGGGUAGCUGCAGGAACAGGGUAGGAGUGCCCAUACAGAGUACUGGGUAGCUGCAGGAACAGGGUAGGAGGGCCCAUGGCAUACAGAGUACUGGGUAGCUGCAGGAACAAGGUAGGAGAGCCCAUACAGAGUACUGGGUAGCUGCAGGGUAGGAGAGCCCAUGGCAUACAGAGUACUGGGUAGCUGCAGGAACAGGGUAGUAGAGCACAUGGCAUACAGAGUACUGGGUAGGUGCAGGAACAGGGUAGGAGUGCCCAUACAGAGUACUGGGUAGCUGCAGGAACAAGGUAGGAGAGCCCAUGACAUACAGAGUACUGGGUAGAUACAGGAACAGGGUAGGAGAGCCCAUGGCAUACAGAGUACUGGGUAGCUGAAGGAACAGGGUAGGAGGGCCCAUGGCAUACAGAGUACUGGUUAGCUGCAGGAACAGGGUAGGAGAGCCCAUGGCAUACAGAGUACUGGGUAGCUGCAGGAACAAGGUUGGGAGAGCCCAUACAGAGUACUGGGUAGAUACAGUAACAGGGUAGGAGAGCCCAUACAGAGUACUGGGUAGCUGCAGGAACAGGGUAGGAGAGCCCAUACAGAGUACUGGGUAGCUACAGGAACAGGGUAGGAGUGCCCAUGGCAUACAGAGUACUGGGUAGCUGAAGGAACAAGGUAGGAGGGCCCAUGGCAUACAGAGUACUGGUUAGCUGCAGGAACAGGGUAGGAGAGCCCAUGGCAUACAGAGAACUGGGUAGCUGCAGGAACAAGGUUGGGAGAGCCCAUGGCAUACAGAGUACUGGGUAGGAACAGGGUUGGAGUGCCCAUGGCAUACAGAGCACUGGGUAGCUACAGGAACAGGGUAGGAGAGCCCAUACAGAGUACUGGGUGGAAUAUCACCUGUCGCGCAGCGAGAGGCUGGGUGCUCCUCAAACAGUGGUUGAUUUGUGGAGUGAAAUGUGUUCCCAGACAUUUCUAUAUGGAACCAAGCAGUGUUGAUGGGUGUCACUGAAAAGAGGAUCCCAGCUGCUACGCUGCCAGCUGCUACCCUGCCAGCUGAUACUCUGCCAGCUGCUACGCUGCCAGCUGCUACUCUGCCAGCUGCUACGCUGCCAGCUGCUACUCUGCCAGCUGCUACGCUGCCAGCUGCUACUCUGCCAGCUGCUACUCUGCCAGCUGCUACCCUGCCUGCUGCUACUCUGCCAGCUUCUACCCUGUCAGCUGCUACCCUGCCAGCUGCUACUCUGCCAUCUGCUACCCUGCCAGCUGCUACUCUGCCAGCUUCUACCCUGCCAGCUGCUACUCUGCCAUCUGCUACCCUGCCAGCUGCUACUCUGCCAUCUGCUACCCUGCCAGCUGCUACUCUGCCAUCUCCUACCCUGCCUUCUUCUACCCUGCCAUCCACUACCCUGCCAGCUGCUACCCUGCCAUCUUCUACCCUGCCUCUACCCUGCAAGCUGCUACCCUGCUGUUAAACCAGAGUAGCCUAACCGGCAUGAUUAAAGAGGGAAGAGCAGCCUCCAGUACGUACGGAGGAUAAGGUUAAAUUGAGACUAGGCUGCACACGUUCUCUCAUCAUGUGAUCAUAUUUUCACCCAUCACACGGAGACGAGGAUCCGACUUCCUCAAAUCAUAAUCACAGACUCACUCUGUUCCCGCCUAGAAAAUAUUACUCUCUAUAUCUCUCUCUCUCUCACUGUCUCUCUCUGUAUCUCUCUCACUGUCUCUCUCACUGUCUCUCUCUCUCUCACACUCACUCUGUUCCCGCCUAGAAAAUAUUACUCUCUAUAUCUGUCUCUCUCUCACUGUCUCUCUCUGUAUCUCUCUCACUGUCUCUCUCACUGUCUCUCUCUCUCUCACACUCACUCUGUUCCCGCCUAGAAAAUAUUACUCUCUAUAUCUGUCUCUCUCUCUCUGUCUCUCUCU
rnacentral:lncRNA from 1 species